AUUUGCCCUUUUUUAUUUCUUUAUUAGUAUAAAACUAUAACGUUGCUUGUGAUCUCAAUGAGAUCAAAUGAUAUGCACUGAUGAAAUGGCUCUCCAUCUAUUCUUGAAAUGAUAUUUGUCAUGAGCAGAAACGAACAAGACGAGCUCUCUGCUAAGUCAGGAGUACAUUAGAUUAAUGUGUGCAAUAUUCACUUACAAAACAAGUACAAUAUAUAUGCAGCACUCGUUAAAUAUGCAUUUUUGAAAACAUUUUCUAUUCUGGGAAGUAUUUUUAUAGGAUUCUUUUUAGUACAUAAUAACUGUGUAAAAUUGCACCUCUUUACAACAUUUUAUCCCCCUUUUUAAAAUUGUAUUUUGACUUGCUGUAGCUAACUGGUACAUGAAAUGUACUGGUGACCGUCAUGUAGGUCAGAUGAUCUGUACCAUGGUAACUGAUUCAAUACAAAGCCUUGCUUUAAUUGUUUUGUAUUUGUUGUUCCCUAUAAACCUGUGCCUUCAUGUGUAUUAUCAUGUAUGUAUGUGUAAGUACAUGUGUAUCAUAUUUAUAUACCUCAUCAUGUCAUUCCUUCUAUAGUCUAGUCACCAACAACCAGCCGAGUUUUACAUGUAUUUAUCUAAGCCGGACCACGGACUGAAAACAGGAACCAGAACUACAGAAAAAUAGGUUGUGAAGUCAUUAUCUCCAGAAUCAAACUCCAAUGAGGCAUACUUAGAACUUUUCAGGAUUUUUCCUCAAAUUAUUACAGUUUUAUUGAUUGUUACUCAAUCUUUGUUGUCACUGUCAAUAAUAGCAAACUACUUUAAUUACCAAAAUAAAACUUCAAUAAAAGUUAAUAAUAU
rnacentral:sRNA from 1 species